UGGGAUAUUCUUUGGAACAAAAAAACAAAUAAAGAGGACCCUAAGGACUUAACACAAAAGACCUAGGGAUUAAUGGGAAAAAUACACAAAAAUACACCUAAACCUAUACCCUACCUAUAAACUAAUGCUUAAAAAAAUCAAAAGAAAAAAAAUAACGCUAAAAGAGGAGAUCUGAAGCGUCGUUUUUCACAAGACCCCACCCCAUGUAGCUCGUCUCCAUCACACACACCCCUGACCAGCUGCAAUUCCCAAAAAAAAUCACACCUUAAGCUCAGCCGUUAUUGAUCAUCAUCAGCGACAAGAACACACACCAUGAGCUUCUUCUUCAUUGAAAAAAAAAACCAACAGACCCCUCAUUCCAAAACACACACACGAACAGAGAGGUGAGAUUAAGAGCAACAGUGAUAUGCCGGCGUCCCCAUCUAUUCUGAUCUUCUUCCUCACCGUCAGUGACACCCAUAAACUUUAGCCCAGAUCCGCCUAAAAUCACCCCAAAUCCAACCCAAAAGGAGCAACAAACUUGAUGCUUUAUCUCGCAUUUUCUAGUCCGUUUACAACAACUUAGACGAAGCAACCAUUUUCUAUAUUAGAGUCCAGGUUAAGAUAAUGUUUUAGUAUAACAUAUUACAAACAUCACAUAAAAUAAAUGGAGAGUAUUCAAUUUUUGAGCGAUUGAGGUGCUGGAUUUGGUUCGGAUUUGUUGUAGCCCGCCGUUCCAGUCGCGGUUCUCGUUAGAUUUUUGUUGCUAUUUUGUCGCUCAAAUUUAGGAGCCAAGAUCUUCGUAGCUGCUGAUUUUAUUGCUGUUGAGGUUCAACAUCUCUCCAUUCUCCAUAAUAUACUUGCUAAUAGUGGCGAUAAAUACAAAAUUGCUUUUGUGACUGUUUGUUCUCCUGUGAGUUUUUUUUGAAUUUGGUGUUAAUUGUAGAAUCUAUAGUGUGUUUGCUCAUGAUUAUUCGUAGCUUUCCUUGAUUCUAAGUAUAAAGCAGAGUAAUAAAACAUCUAUUUAGAAUUUGGCUUAUUGUUAAAUUAGUUCAUUCGUCGAAUUCUCUUCUGUUUCGUAACGUUGUUUGAAGAUGGUCUUUGAUGAGAUACGACAAAAAGAGUUGAAGAUUGUUUUUUUUCAUUCACUGUCCCUUCUAUAAAUAGGCUUAAUAACUUUGACAACAUGAUCUCCUUUUAUUAUCAAAGGAGCAGCUUCAUAGAUCUCCGUCUGCUGUCGAAAGGUUGCUAGGAAUUGACUCAAUUAUUGUUCUUUUGAACUGCUGUAGAGAUUACUUCAUCGCAAUUACGGGCAUGGUUCCCAUGACGUAGUUGUGAUACUUAAUCCCUAAUUAGUUUUGAAUAUAAAUAUCCGUAGUUCUUAGUUGAAUGUUUUUCCUUUAAUAAAUUUGAGGUGUGCCAUCCAAUCACCUAGCCUAUGGCCCUCGCAAAAUUGCAAACGCGUAGUUGCUUUAAGCAUGUCCUUUUAAUAAUUUACCUCCCUAAACUCGGGUGCGCAUUUAUGUGACCCAAAUUCAAAUCCCAACAACGUUAAAUAAAAUGUGUCGUGGACCGCGGGUGCAUUUAUGUGACGUGGUUCAAGACGUAUUUUAAAUGACGUUGCAAUCUUCCUUAAAAAUGAUUAAAAACGAUUAAUUAUUUAAAAUUGUAUCAUAAGCUAAAACAUGUAUUAAAAUCAGUAAAUAUGCCAAAUAUAAUAGUUGAGCGAUUGUGCUAGAACCACGGAACUCGGGAAUGCUUAACACCUUCUCCCAGGUUAACAGAAUUCCAUACCCGAAUUUCUGGUUUGUGGACUGUUAAACAGAGUCAUUCUUUUCCUCGAUUCGGGAUUGGAACCGGUGACUUGGGACACCAUAAAUUAUCCCAAGUGGCGAUUCUAAUUUUAAAUAAAAUAAUCCCGUUUCGAUUGUCACUUUAAGUUGGAAAAAACUCCCUUAUAUACACCCUUCCCUGGGAGGUGAAAAAAGGAGGUGUGAUAAUUACAUCUUGAUAUGGGACGACCUGGCCAGUCGUCUCAUGAGUUACCGCUCCGUUUCCCCCAUUCUGCUUCUUUAUACUUUGUUAUCCAUAUUUAGUGGUAUCAGGUUGGUCGGAUCGAAUCCGAAAUGAUUUUGGUAAGGUUUGAGACACUUAGUCUCUUUGGAGGAAGUUUAAGUUGGAAAAGUCAACCGGAUGUUGACUUAUGUGUUAGAGGGCUCGGAUGUGGAUUUCGAUGGUUCGGUUAGCUUUGGGAGGUGAUUUAGGACUUAGGAGUUUGAUUGGAAUUGGUUUUGGAGGUUCAGAGUUGAUUUAGGCUUGAAUUGGCGAAGUUGAUAUUUUGGCGAUUUCCGGUUGAUAGGCGAGAUUUUGAUAUAGGGGUCGGAAUGGAAUUAUAAGAGUUGCAGAAGUUUUGUUGGGUCAUUUGGGAUGUGUGUGAAAAUAUUUAGGUCAUUCGACGUGGUUUGGUUGGGUUUUAGAUCAAAAGCAGAAUUUUGAAGAUUUUAGAAAGUUUGGCUUGAAUCCGAUGUGUUUUGGGUGAUUUGAUGUUGUUUGGGGUGAUUUGAUGAUUGGAACAAGUUUGAAUAAGGUAUUAGGAUAUGUUUGUGCUUUUGGUUGAGGUCCCAGAGGCCCCAGGUGAUUUCAGAUGGUUAAUGGAGAAGUUGGAUUUUUGUUGCAACUGUUGAAUUGCUGCUUCUGGUAUUUUCGCACCUGCGGAUUGGGGACCAUAGGUGCGGCGCCGCAUAUGUGAGAGAGGGGCCGCAGAAGCAACCAGAGGUAUGUUUGACUCAGACUGCAGAAGCGUCUAGGAGAAUCGCAUCUGCGAUGUGGCAGAUACAAGCAAGGAACCGCAGAUGCGAAUGACAGGAAACUUAAGUGGUUCCGCAGAAGCGGAUGUAGAACCACAAAUGCGGUACUACAGAUGCGGUUGAAGUAUCGCAGAUGCGAAAAUAUCUGGGCAGAACAUAUAAGUUAUUUCAUUCGCGAUUUUGAGUAAUUUUCACCAUUUCUACUUCGGCUUUGGAGCUUUUUGGGCGAUUUGAAAGAGGGAUUUCAAGGGAAAUUCAUUGAGGUAAAACAUUUGGACUUAAAACUCAUUUCUAUGCUACUAUUUCACGGAUUAAAACUAGAAAUUAUGGAAAUUAAGGGUGAAAUUUGGGGAAAACUAGGGUUUAGAAUUGGAGACCUAUGAUCAAGGAUUUGAUGGACCAUUUGAGGUCAGAUUUCUAAAAUUUUGAUAUGUAUAAACUCGUAGGGAGAUAAGGAAUCUAUUGAUGUAAAAAUUAUCGAAUUUCGAGAUGUGGACCUGGGGGUCGGGUUUUGAUAAUUUCGGGAUUUGUGUCGUAUUCUGUUUAUUUUUGCUUGGGCUUCGUUCCCUUAGCAUAUUUUGACGCCCUCGUCCUGAUUUUGGAUAGAUUCGACGCGAGUGGAGGCUGAUUUGAGGGGCAAAGGCGUCGCGAGCUAGAGAUUUGACCGGUUCGAGGUGAGUAAUGAUUGUAAAUGAUGUUCUGAGGGUUUGAAACCUCGGAUUGCACAUCGUAGUGCAAUAUUAAGGUGAGGCACUUGCUUGAUGACGAGCGUGGGUCGUGUACUAUUUGGAGAUUGUGACUUAGUCCGUCCCGAAUGAUUAUUUUACCGCGUAUUUGAUUGAAAUCUAUUUGCUAUCAUCAUUAUUUGGGUUGAAUGCCAUAUUUGGGCCUUGGGUCAACUAUUUGAACCAUUCGGGGAUUUUUACUAGUAUUUGCUCACUGUUUUGACUUUAUACUUGAACUCAGUCAAGUUAUAUUUCAUUGUUUUUGUACUCAGCCAUGUUUACUCUGUUUUAACACUUAAAUGAUCUUUUAAAUGAUAUUUUGGGCUGAGAAACAUGUUUUACUGCUUCCCGAGUGGCUUGUGAGGAUUUUGACUGAGUAAGGCCGAGGGCCUAUGUUUUGAGGAAACAAUCGAUAUUGAUUAUGAGGCCGAGGUUCUGAGAUACGUACGCCACAAGGUGGCUUGAUUGAUAUGAGGUCGGGGGCCUAGUGAUGAUGCCACGAGGUGGCUUGAUAUUGCGCUUGGGCCGUAAAGGUCCCCUCCAAGAGUUUGUACACCCCCAGUGACCACGGGUACCUAUUCUGAUGUGAGAUCAAGCCCGAGGGGCUGGUAUUGUUCUAGGUGACUGCCCGAGGGGCUGGUAGUGUUCUGAAAUAUUGCCCGCGAGGCGGAUUUGUUAAUACUGUGCCCGAGGGGUGAGCCUUUAUGUCGUUACUUUUCAUAAUUGACUGUCAAUUACCUGCUUAAUUAUUGAAAAAGGCUUUUCAUGAAACUGCAUUUGAGUUAAAGGAUUUUACCUAUCUUUCACUGAUUUACUGAUUUUAAAUGGUUUUACUGCGUCAUUAUAGAAUGCUUUGUGCCUUGCGUGAUUUCUUGAUUUCAGUCCUUAUUUACAUUUGUUACUCACUGAGUUGGAGUACUCACUUUACACCCUGCACCCAUAUGUACAGAUUCAGGCGUUGCGGAUCUUUCUAGUACGAGUUGAGAGCUCUCGGCAGAUAUCAGAGUUCACGAGGUAGCUGCUUGACGUCCGCAGUCCCGUGUUUCUCCCUCUUUAUCUUUUCUAUCUCUUAUCAGACAUUUGUAAUAGUUCGUAGACUCUUCAGACUUGUAUUAGAUUAUAUAGAUGCUCGUGACUAGUGACACCCUGAUAUCGGAUUGUGUUGGGUUGUCCUUCCACAU
rnacentral:lncRNA from 1 species